AUGAAUAUGGUGAGUUUUUCAGUGUGAAAACCCAAAAAAGUACCAAAUCCAGCGUAUAAAGAGCCCUGGAAGCGCAAGGUGUGAACAAAUCAUUAAUUAUGUAGUUUGAGCAGUAUGCAUAAUUCCAAAUUAAUUGCAAUCACUAACCUUGGAAGAAGUGCAACAGAAAAUCAAGAAUCCUAACUACAAGGGGAAUUGGAAGAUUCCUUGGAUUGAUAAUCCGUGUAAGUUUCCUUUCAAUGAAUCCAAGUAGUAUUAAGUGGCCGCUAUCAGUUCUAAUGUGUCCACACCAUGUCAUGUUAUGGUUCAGACAGUUUAGCUCUCAGCCAAAUUGAAUCUGUUCCUUCUGCCAAUGUGGAGAUUAAUUAUUAUACAAGAGCAAUGAACUAAACAGAUAUUAUUUUAUGUAAACACUAGCCUUUUUUCUUUUCUCCCAAUGUUCAUUGAAACUAGGAACAUCGAAUUGCAUCACUCUAUUUACUGCUGCUUUAUUUAUCAAAUAUAAAGGGGCUUUGAGACGUUAUUAUACUUUCCAGCCAAAUUAGAAUGCUAUUUUAUGGGAAAAAGGGGUCCUGGCACAUAUGUAAUAGAACAGUUACUUUGUGCUGUUUACUGCUGGAUUCAAUUCUCCAGGUAAAGAUUCAUUCACACACUCAUCUUCUUCGAAUUUGGGAAGGGGGAGAUGCUGGUAACCUCAUUGCUUUUCUUCUUCCCUUCUGCAGAGUUUGAAGAUAAUCCCGACCUCUAUGUAUUGAAACCAAUAAAAUAUGUAGGCUUCGAAGUUUGGCAGGUAAGAACCAAGCUAUUAUUUUAUUUUGUGGAAUUUUCAUUUAUACCUUGUUUUCACAUAUUCCUGUUUGAAAUUUAUACUGCUAUAUCCUCCAAUUUAUUCAAUGGUCUUGAAUUUGAGAAGUGGUCUGAAUAUUGCAAGACAAUUAGGCCUCCUGGGUUGUCUUUUGGUGAAUUUCAAACAUUGUAUCCGAUACCUUUAAGAUCUCUUAUGUGGCUUGCAAAUAUAUGGUAGUAGUGCUAUGUCGAGUGAAAUUGUUCUUUUCUUUGGUCUCUCUUUAGAAGUGGAAUUUUGGUUCUGAUCUCAUAAGGUUAUACUAGUUUUAAAAAAUUACUGUUUGCUGUCGAUUUUGAAUAUCAAGAAA
rnacentral:lncRNA from 1 species